rnacentral:rRNA from 1 species
AUGGGGGCCGGUCUCUUUGGAUACAUCGACCAAACCAUAACCGAACCACCAAAAACCCUAACCAGCAAAACCUCCGAGGGCAAAGAUCAGGUUGUUCCAAACCCUGCUUAUGCGCCUUGGUUGAUCCAAGAUCAACAGAUCAUCACCUACUUGCUCCGCAACCUCUCCAAGAAAGUGUUAGUUCAAGUAGCUUCCCUAGAAACUUCUGCCGCCAUAUGGUCAGCUCUUGCCAAUAUGUUCUCUGCCCAAUCCAGAUCCAAAGCCAACCAUGUCCGCAUAUCCCUCACCACCGCCCAGAAAGGAACCCAAUCCGCCUCUGUGUACUUUGGGCACAUG